AGCAGCACAAGGAUGGAGGACAAUGGCUGCGCUCAGCUGAGCUCCUCCUCCUCAUCAAUGAUCAGUUUGUAUUUGUCCAUACCUCUCAUGGCCUUCUUCCCUGGCUUCCAGUUCCAGAUGGCUUGGUGAGGCUUGGACAGAAACCGGCAAGUCAGAAAUCGGCAAUGGUGAGCUCCUACAGGAGCCUACCAGUUUAAGUUUUCCCUCUUCCUGUUGUUCCUCGUUUUCCUUCAUUCCUUCUUUUUUUUCCUUUUACCUUAGAGUUGUAUCUAGUGAGAGCAGAAGAUUUCAGUAGAAGUCUUGCUUUCUGGAGACAAUGUUUUUUCUGUUUGUUUUGGAAUAUCCUGCUUUGAACUGCUCGUGGUUACCCUUGUAAAGAUGGCGUGUAACCUAUUCUGUUGUUGGUUCUGCAACCUUGUUUGAUCUCCUUUUGAAGGAUACGGUUGUCGUAUUUUUGGCAACCCUUGCUGUGAACUGAAGCCAACUCCGCUAGCGAAAAAACAGUGAAUGGUGGUGCCCCAGUCUCACAGACAUUUGUAAGCUGACCCUGCGUACACUACUGCUAAGCGAAAGAUGUUUUUUCCCUGCAACUUGCAAGAAUAUAUACUGUUUGAUGGUAGUACUACCACAUGUAAUUUCAGGCGACUGAUAUCCAGAAAAUUUCCCUGUUUCCUGAGGCACCUAUCGGCGAUUCAGGGAAAAUAUCUUGCACAUUUCCCUGGAACAUUGAUGUUUUCAGAAAA